rnacentral:misc_RNA from 1 species
GAGAGCAUCUGGGCAUUGCACCGACCGCCAAAAAACGCAGUUUAGACAGCCGGCACCAAGCCACCCGGAAGGAAGCGGCAAAGCACCAAUCACAAGCGAGGUCACGAAUGCCAAAGGCCGUCAUUUCCUCCAUCGGCUGGCCAUGGGGGAGCACGUAUCUGACGGUCGCUGGCUGCAAUCACCACACCCAACCGUGCUCGCUCGGUCUUGUCGCAUCUGCAUCGAGGGAGAGUACGACUAUGCACAUGUAUCUCAAGACCCUCACCAAGAUGGCUCUGUGGCCGCCGACACAAUCUCUGACACAACUUACCACAGCCCCUGAUAUUUUCUUCUUUAUGGAGCAUUGUGAAAGCUGGCCAUGGCGGCACACACGUUUCUUGUGCACGGCAUCACCAACUUGCUGGUUCUGUCUGGUCAAAUCUUCGUCGCUGGUCAGGGACAGCUACCUGCUGACCCGAUGUCACACAACCACGGCCCUCUCCCCCCUGGCUCCCACUCCCAAGGAAACAGUUCUUUGUCUCAUCUUUUUUUAUCUUUAAAAUCUCUUCUUUUUUUCUAAACACGUAACCUUACAGUUAAUAACGUUGUCGGCACUUGUCUUUCGUGUUACUAGUAGAUUGAAUCCAUGGUGACAGUACUUUUUCUAGUGUCCUAAACUAGGAGAAAAUCACAUAUUAACAUAUUAUUUAUAAAUUUCCAUUAAGUUCAAUUUGUAGUUUAUUUCUAUGAUAUCUGGACAUUAAUUUUUGCAUUGAAUUAUGGUUUAUCUUUCUUCCUUUGGCUGUCAAUUAGUUGUGUUCAUUGUGUUGGACAUUGUUGCAGACCCAGACUAACAUGGUGGUACGGCCACCAACAUGACCUUUCCACACAUCGUCUGGACCCAGCCUCCGGACACAGCAUCUGGACAAACCCACCUGACACAUCCUCCAGACACAGCCUCCUGACACAGCCUCCUCACAGCCCCUUGAUAUUUACUUCUAGAUGGAAGAUGGUGUAAGUGUCCCGGAACUGGCCGGUUAACCUUAUAGUACGUAGGAGGGAAGAAGUACCCCCGAUUGUAUGUAGGAGGAAGUAUCAACCUCCAACAUCACGUAAGGAGAGAAGUAUCUCCGUUUCCGUGUGCACAUCAUAGGAUGAACACAGCCGUGGCAUCCAAGUAAACAGGCACCCUUAACUCCGUGGUGACAACAUCGCCUAGGUGGAAAGAUCACCAUUCGAUAUUACGAGGAAGAAUUCUAGUGUGAACUGCUCAGUAACAUCAGAGAUUCCAAAGUUCUGUAUACAACUGUGUGACAGUGACAGUGGAGUGGCUUUGUAUCUUUCUUUUUUCUUUUUUUUUUUUUUUUUUUUGGGGGGGGGGGGGGGGGGGUUGUGUUGUUGUAUAUAUGUACACCCACAAAGUUAUUACUGUGUAUUAGUUGUGUUAUUCUUAGAACAUUUGUAUUAGUGUUAGUAUUGUUAAAAGUAGACUAUUAGUAUUAGGAUAGUGUAUCGUGAUAGUUGUAUUGUUAGUAGUAGACAUUGGUACUGUUAGUAGUAAGAUAUUAGUAUUAGUAGUAGAUGGUAGUAUUGUUAGUUGUAGGAGAAGCUAGUUUAGUUAGUUGUGUUAGUUAAUUUGGUAUUAGUUUGUAUUUAAAUAUUGUUAUUGGGUUUUAAAAUUAAUUAAGGGAGGGAAUAAAUCUGUAUUACAACUUCCUUUGUGUUUGUGGUUGAUUCAAUACGUGACAGCCAGAUGUAGCUGAAGA